UACGUAGGGGGCUAGCGUUGUCCGGAAUCAUUGGGCGUAAAGCGCGCGUAGGCGGCCCGGUAAGUCCGCUGUGAAAGUCAAAGGCUCAACCUUUGAAUGUCAGCGGAUACUGCCGGGCUAGAGUCCGGAAGAGGCGAGUGGAACUCCUGGUGUAGCGGUGGAAUGCGCAGAUAUCAGGAAGAACACCAACGGCGAAGGCAGCUCGCUGGGACGGUACUGACGCUCAUGCACGAAAGCGUGGGGAGCAAACAGG
rnacentral:rRNA from 1 species